rnacentral:rRNA from 1 species
UAAAUAACCGCAGUACUCUGACUGUGCAAAGGUAGCAUAAUCAAUUGGCUCCUAAUUAAAGUCUGGUAUGAAUGAAUAUAUGGAAAUAAGCUGUCUCUAAUAUAUUAUUAUUAAAUUGGUAGUAAGUGCAAAUCCUUACGUAAAUAUUAAAGACGAGAAGACCCUAGAAAUUUAAAUAAUUAUUUUGUUGGGGCGACAAUACUACAGUUNUNUCACGACGCGAUGUUGAAAGAAGAAAUUACUCUAGGGAUAACAGCAUAAUUUAAUACGUUUGUGACCUCGAUGUUGGACUAGGUAAAUAAU